rnacentral:rRNA from 1 species
GGAGCUUCCCAUACGGGUUGAAGCAUGACCGUAAGGACAUGUGGACAGUAUGGGAGUGAGAAUGUUGGCAUGAGUAGCGAGAUGUGGGUGAGAAUCCCACAGGCCGUAAACCCAAGGUUUCCAGGGGAAGGUUCGUCCGCCCUGGGUUAGUCGGGACCUAAGCUGAGGCCGAAAGGCGUAGGUGAUGGACAACAGGUUGAUAUUCCUGUACUACCGAUAACC